rnacentral:rRNA from 1 species
GUCUAUGGCCACGCCACCCUGAACAAGCCCAAUCCCGUCUGAUCUCAGAAGCUAAGCAGGGUUGCGCCUGGUUAGUACUUGGUUGGGAGACCACCUAGGAAGACCAGGUGCUGUAGGCG